rnacentral:snRNA from 13 species
GACUUUGCAGAGUGGCAGUAUUGUAGCCAAUGAGUUUUUUAUCCACAUGCAAUUACUGCUAAUUGAAAACUUUCCCCAAUACCCCUCAUGACAACUUAAAAAUAUAGUCAGCAUUGGCAAUUUUUGACAGUCUCUACGGAGC